AGAACGAACGCUGGCGGCGUGCUUAACACAUGCAAGUCGAACGCGAAAGUUUUCUUCGGAAAGCGAGUAGAGUGGCGCACGGGUGAGUAACGCGUAAGUAAUCUACCCUGGUAUCUGGGAUAACCCACCGAAAGGUGUGCUAAUACCGGAUACGCUGAUUUAUCAGGAAAGGUGGCCUCUUCAUGAAAGCUACUGUACCAGGAGGAGCUUGCGUACCAUUAGCUAGUUGGUAGGGUAAUGGCCUACCAAGGCGACGAUGGUUAGCGGGUCUGAGAGGAUGAUCCGCCACACUGGAACUGGAACACGGACCAGACUCCUACGGGAGGCAGCAGUGAGGAAUAUUGCGCAAUGGGGGAAACCCUGACGCAGCGACGCCGCGUGGAUGAUGAAGGCCUUCGGGUCGUAAAAUCCUGUCAGAUGGAAAGAAAUGUAUAGAGGUUAAUAUCCUUUAUAUUUGACGGUACCAUCAAAGGAAGCACCGGCUAACUCCGUGCCAGCAGCCGCGGUAAUACGGAGGGUGCAAGCGUUGUUCGGAAUUACUGGGCGUAAAGCGCGCGUAGGCGGCUUUUUAAGUCAGAUGUGAAAGUCCACGGCUCAACCGUGGAAGUGCAUUUGAAACUGGGGAGCUUGAGUACUGGAGGGGGUGGUGGAAUACCCGGUGUAGAGGUGAAAUUCGUAGAUAUCGGGAGGAAUACCGGUGGCGAAGGCGACCACCUGGCCAGAUACUGACGCUGAGGUGCGAAAGCGUGGGGAGCAAACAGGAUUAGAUACCCUGGUAGUCCACGCCGUAAACGAUGUCAACUAGGUGUUGGGGAGGUUAAUCUUCUCAUUGCCGCAGCUAACGCAUUAAGUUGACCGCCUGGGGAGUACGGUCGCAAGAUUA
rnacentral:rRNA from 1 species